UACGUAGGGGGCUAGCGUUGUUCGGAAUUACUGGGCGUAAAGCGCACGUAGGCGGAUAUUUAAGUCAGGGGUGAAAUCCCAGAGCUCAACUCUGGAACUGCCUUUGAUACUGGGUAUCUUGAGUAUGGAAGAGGUAAGUGGAAUUGCGAGUGUAGAGGUGAAAUUCGUAGAUAUUCGCAGGAACACCAGUGGCGAAGGCGGCUUACUGGUCCAUAACUGACGCUGAGGUGCGAAAGCGUGGGAAGCAAACAGG
rnacentral:rRNA from 1 species